CUCAAAAUCUUUCUCCGUGAAGGGAACAUCCUCAAUUAACACAGCGGAAUGGACGUUGAAAAAUAUUCCCAGCAUUAUCUGAAAAAUGGGAAUGGCUAGGUUGUUGAACUCAGGCACCUGACCUCUCGGUCACGCUCUAAACCCCUCCCAUUUCUAAUGUUGCCACAACACCUGGGGCUGGGAUUAACCAGAACAAGGUAGGAUUAGGGGUGGUUGUUACUGGAUUCGGACUCGGCCACCUGGAAAAGGGAUUGAGGUGGUGACACUGAGAAUGGCUCUGGCAAUGGCAGGAAUAGUGAGCAACCUGUCUUUCCCAGGAACCCAAGUUAUCCCCUCCCCAGAGGCGUCAUUAUCACGGGACAGUGCGGAAGAGCGGCCAGCAGAUCAACCAGCUCCAGCUUGCCUGCUGCCUUCUAAGGCCCGGAAUUUCCUAGCCUUCCAACCCUCCAACCCCGGAGCCCCUCAGGCCCGCUCCGAUUCUCGCCGGGGGAGGACCCCUCACCAACAUGAUCACUCCCCAGGCGCUGAGCACUAUGCCGCAGGCGGCCAGCUUCGGCCCACAGCACAGGAGCGACGCCAUGUAGAAGGGAGUCCGGGGGUCCUCUAGGGGUGAGCCGGGUGGAAAGGCGGUGAGAGGAAGCCCUGGAUGCGCCUGGAGGGCUGCGGAGAGGGAGUGGCCUCCGGCCCCUACCAUCAUGCUGGGGGUGGGAAGGGGCGGCUACGGGGAACUCCAGGCACCUCGGAGUCCUCUCGGGACUUCUGGGGCAGAAGGCGGCGUCUGGAACUCAAGCCGAUGUUCGAAAGCCCUUAACUGCCCCUUGUAUCUGGGCGUGAGUAUUGGAAGAGGGCCUCGAGUUUCUUCCUCUUCCCCCGACUCCAGGUUGAAAUGGAAGGAGCUGGUAUAUCACGUGACCAAGUUUGGCAAGUCACGUGACGAGGAACUCGCUGUCACCGGGUCUGGGGGAAAAGUCUGUAACUCUGGCGGAGCUCCUGAUAACUUUGACGAUGGGGCUCUUAGGAUCGGAGGAUUGGAACCGUCUGAUUUCACCCUCAGAUACUUAGUCUCGGUUGGUAUCCUGUGAUGGGGAAAUGAGUCCCCUCUUACCAUGUCUGGCUGGCGGCGACCCAGGUGCCAUGUGAUGGUCAUUUGAAGACAGGCCUGCCGGAUAUCGGGUCUGCCGAGGUCCAGACACUUGCCUUCGGGAACCUGGGCUUUCAGCUGUCCAUACCUGGCCCUGGUUGAUGGCCCCAUGCUGGGCAGUGCAUAUGAAGACACACAUGCAUACUUUCUCUAAAAAGUCUGUUGGAAAAAUAAGGCAAAGGUAAGCUAUGAGAACUGAGGGAGAAUAAGGGGGAGGGGAGAAUGAGAGGCACUUAGUGGAGGUUAAAUUUAAUUUGUGUUAUGAACUGAAUAUGUGUCCCCCCCAGAUUCUUGUGCUGAAAUCUAAUCCCCAAAGUGUUGGUAUUAGAAGGUAGAGCCUCUGGGAGGUAAUUAGGUUAUGAGGGUGGAGCCUUCAUAGAUGGGAUUAGUGCCUUUAUGAGAAGAGGCCAGAGAGCCAGUCUGCUCUCUUUCUGCCAUGUGAGGAUAUAAGGAGAAGAAGUUGGCUGUCUGCAACCUGGCAGAGAGCCCUUACCAGAACCCCAACCUGCUGGCACCCUAAUCUUGGACUUCCAGCCUCCAGAACUGUGAGGAAUAAAUUUCCGUUGU